rnacentral:rRNA from 1 species
GUUUGAUCAUGGCUCAGAUUGAACGCUGGCGGCAGGCCUAACACAUGCAAGUCGAGCGGUAGCACAGAGAGCUUGCUCUCGGGUGACGAGCGGCGGACGGGUGAGUAAUGUCUGGGAAACUGCCUGAUGGAGGGGGAUAACUACUGGAAACGGUAGCUAAUACCGCAUAAUGUCGCAAGACCAAAGUGGGGGACCUUCGGGCCUCAUGCCAUCAGAUGUGCCCAGAUGGGAUUAGCUAGUAGGUGGGGUAACGGCUCACCUAGGCGACGAUCCCUAGCUGGUCUGAGAGGAUGACCAGCCACACUGGAACUGAGACACGGUCCAGACUCCUACGGGAGGCAGCAGUGGGGAAUAUUGCACAAUGGGCGCAAGCCUGAUGCAGCCAUGCCGCGUGUGUGAAGAAGGCCUUCGGGUUGUAAAGCACUUUCAGCGGGGAGGAAGGCGUUAAGGUUAAUAACCUUGGCGAUUGACGUUACCCGCAGAAGAAGCACCGGCUAACUCCGUGCCAGCAGCCGCGGUAAUACGGAGGGUGCAAGCGUUAAUCGGAAUUACUGGGCGUAAAGCGCACGCAGGCGGUCUGUCAAGUCGGAUGUGAAAUCCCCGGGCUCAACCUGGGAACUGCAUUCGAAACUGGCAGGCUAGAGUCUUGUAGAGGGGGGUAGAAUUCCAGGUGUAGCGGUGAAAUGCGUAGAGAUCUGGAGGAAUACCGGUGGCGAAGGCGGCCCCCUGGACAAAGACUGACGCUCAGGUGCGAAAGCGUGGGGAGCAAACAGGAUUAGAUACCCUGGUAGUCCACGCCGUAAACGAUGUCGAUUUGGAGGUUGUGCCCUUGAGGCGUGGCUUCCGGAGCUAACGCGUUAAAUCGACCGCCUGGGGAGUACGGCCGCAAGGUUAAAACUCAAAUGAAUUGACGGGGGCCCGCACAAGCGGUGGAGCAUGUGGUUUAAUUCGAUGCAACGCGAAGAACCUUACCUGGUCUUGACAUCCACAGAACUUUCCAGAGAUGGAUUGGUGCCUUCGGGAACUGUGAGACAGGUGCUGCAUGGCUGUCGUCAGCUCGUGUUGUGAAAUGUUGGGUUAAGUCCCGCAACGAGCGCAACCCUUAUCCUUUGUUGCCAGCGGUCCGGCCGGGAACUCAAAGGAGACUGCCAGUGAUAAACUGGAGGAAGGUGGGGAUGACGUCAAGUCAUCAUGGCCCUUACGACCAGGGCUACACACGUGCUACAAUGGCAUAUACAAAGAGAAGCGACCUCCCGAAGGUUAAGCUACCUACUUCUUUU